rnacentral:rRNA from 1 species
AUUGAACGCUGGCGGCAGGCCUAACACAUGCAAGUCGAGCGGAGCGGCGGACGGGCGAGUGAGGCCUAGGUGUCUGCCUGGUCGUGGGGGGUGGCGUCCGGCAGCGGGCGCUAACUCAGCACACGAUCAGAUGAACCUAUGUCGGAUUAGCUAGUUGGUGGGGUAAAGGCUUACUAAGGCGACGAUCCGUCACUGGUCUGAGAGGAUGAUCAGUCACACUGGAACUGAGACACGGUCCAGACUCCUACGGGAGGCAGCAGUGGGGAAUAUUGCACAAUGGGCGAAAGCCUGAUCCAGCCAUGCCGCGUGUGUGAAGAAGGUCUUCGGAUUGUAAAGCACUUUAAGUUGGGAGGCGUUACCAACAGAAAAAGCACCGGCUAACUUCGUGCCAGCAGCCGCGGUAAUUC